rnacentral:rRNA from 1 species
GACGAACGCUGGCGGCGUGCUUAACACAUGCAAGUCGAACGAGGUGGCGAACGGGUGAGUAACGCGUAAUCAACCUGCCCUUCAGCGGGGAACAACAGUUGGACACGACUGCUAAUACCGCAUACUGAAGGAGGGGCUUGCGUGUGAUUAGCUAGUUGGGGGGGUAACGGCCCACCAAGGCGAUGAUCAGUAGCCGGUCUGAGAGGAUGACCGGCCACAAUGGGACUGAGACACGGCCCAGACUCCUACGGGAGGCAGCAGUGGGGAAUCUUCCGAAAUGGACGAAAGUCUGACGGAGCAACGCCGCGUGAGUGAUGACGGCCUUCGGGUUGUAAAGCUCUGUUAAUCGGGACGCGGUACCUGAACAGAAAGCCACGGCUAACUACGUGCCAGCAGCCGCGGUAAUUC